UCGAACGAAUCCCCGGUAGCUUGCUACCGGGGGGAAGUGGCGAAAGGGGCAGUAAUGCGUGGGUAACCUACCCUGGGGACGUGGAUAGCCUCCCUAACGGGAGGGUAAUACGCGGCGAGCUGGCGACCGGGCAUCCGGAUGUCAGGAAACGAAUCUCGCCUCGGGAGGGGCUCACGUGAUAUUAGCUUGUUGGCGGGGUAACGGCCCACCAAGGCGAAGAUGUCUAGCGGGUGUGAGAGCACGACCCGCGCCACUGGCACUGAGACACUGGCCAGACUCCUACGGGAGGCUGCAGUCGAGGAUCUUCGGCAACGGGCGCAAGCCUGACCGAGCGACGCCGCGUGUGCGAUGAAGGCCUUCGGGUUGUAAAGCACUGUCGAGGGGGAGUAACGCCCGCAAGGGUUUGAACGACCCCUGGAGGAAGCACGGGCUAAGUUCGUGCCAGCAGCCGCGGUAAGACGAACCGUGCGAACGUUG
rnacentral:rRNA from 1 species